rnacentral:rRNA from 1 species
GACGAACGCUGGCGGCGUGCUUAACACAUGCAAGUCGAACGGUGAAGCCCUUCGGGGUGGAUCAGUGGCGAACGGGUGAGUAACACGUGAGCAACCUGCCCCUGGCUCUGGGACAACCACUGGAAACGGUGGCUAAUACCGGAUACGACCCGCCUCGGCAUCGAGUGUGGGUGGAAAGUUUUUCGGCUGGGGAUGGGCUCGCGGCCUAUCAGCUUGUUGGUGAGGUGAAGGCUCACCAAGGCGACGACGGGUAGCCGGCCUGAGAGGGCGACCGGCCACACGGGGAGUGAGACCCGGCCAGGACCCCGAGGGGAGGCAGGGGGGGGAAAUAUGCAAAAAGGGGCGAAGGCUGGAUGCGGCGCCGCGGGGGGGGGGAGGAGGGCUUGGGGUUGUAAAACCUUUUCCACCUCGAAAGAAGCGAAAGGGACGGGGGGAGAAGAAAAAGCCCCGGCAAACUACGUC